rnacentral:rRNA from 1 species
UUUUAUGGAGAGUUUGAUCCUGGCUCAGGAUGAACGCUGGCGGCGUGCCUAAUACAUGCAAGUCGAGCGAACGGACGAGAAGCUUGCUUCUCUGAUGUUAGCGGCGGACGGGUGAGUAACACGUGGAUAACCUACCUAUAAGACUGGGAUAACUUCGGGAAACCGGAGCUAAUACCGGAUAAUAUUUUGAACCGCAUGGUUCAAAAGUGAAAGACGGUCUUGCUGUCACUUAUAGAUGGAUCCGCGCUGCAUUAGCUAGUUGGUAAGGUAACGGCUUACCAAGGCAACGAUGCAUAGCCGACCUGAGAGGGUGAUCGGCCACACUGGAACUGAGACACGGUCCAGACUCCUACGGGAGGCAGCAGUAGGGAAUCUUCCGCAAUGGGCGAAAGCCUGACGGAGCAACGCCGCGUGAGUGAUGAAGGUCUUCGGAUCGUAAAACUCUGUUAUUAGGGAAGAACAUAUGUGUAAGUAACUGUGCACAUCUUGACGGUACCUA